GGGCCCGCACAAGCGGUGGAGUAUGUGGUUUAAUUCGAUGCAACGCGAAGAACCUUACCAGGGUUUGACAUCCUGCGAAUCUCUUGGAAACGAGAGAGUGCCUUCGGGAACGCAGUGACAGGUGGUGCAUGGCUGUCGUCAGCUCGUGUUGUGAAAUGUUGGGUUAAGUCCCGUAACGAGCGCAACCCUUGUCCUUAUUUGCCAGCGCGUAAUGGCGGGAACUCUAAGGAGACUGCCGGUGACAAACCGGAGGAAGGUGGGGACGACGUCAAGUCAUCAUGGCCCUUACGAGUAGGGCUACACACGUGCUACAAUGGUCGGUACAAAGGGUUGCCAACUCGCGAGAGUGAGCCAAUCCCGAAAAGCCGAUCUCAGUCCGGAUCGGAGUCUGCAACUCGACUCCGUGAAGUCGGAAUCGCUAGUAAUCG
rnacentral:rRNA from 1 species